CAUUCACGGAGAGUUUGAUCCUGGCUCAGGACGAACGCUGGCGGCGUGCUUAACACAUGCAAGUCGAACGAUGAACC
rnacentral:rRNA from 2 species